AUAUGGUGAAAAACCAGCCCAUUCCAUUCCAAGGUAAAUAGGUGGUGGGCUGCCUAAUGGUGGUUCAAGUAAUAAAUGAUCGGAUUGCUGUUGCUGUUGCACUUCUUGACAUUCCGAUGUGGGAAGAUAAGGUGUUAGAUAAGUGUUUAGUGCAAUAUGAUAUAACAAGAUAUUUAGAAGAUAUACUACCUGAACUCUAGCUUCAGUUAAUUUUAUCCUCAGGGCAAGUUCCUCUCUGAAGAAAACAUCAGGAUAAUGUGUUUUUUGAAACGCUCUUUCCAAUUCUUCUAAUUGAAAAUUUGUAAAAGUCGUCCGGUAUCUUCGCUGCUUUCUUUUGCCAGUUCCUCCGGACGAUUGUCUGUCUUCGUUUCCAGGACUUGGCGAAAAAUCGUACGCUAUAUACACAAAUGUAACAAAUCUAAUUCACUAACUUCUGCGUUAAACAUUUAAGAUAUACAACAAAAAUCAGAAACAUAUUUCAGAGAGUGAAUACCAUAUUUCUUUGAUUUGAUGUAAAUUUAGAUUUCGAUAACUUUGAGAAUCUUGAGAUAGUCUUUUACAGUAAAGUUUUGUAUAUUCGAGAUUUCAAAUUGAAUAUACUUUUAAUAAUGUAUUAAACGUAUUCUAUAUUUUUGAAUAUAUAAAAUUAUUCAUAAUCACGCAAAUUCAUAUAUAAUGUCGUAAACAUUUAGGAAACACUCGCAAAAAGAUGAAUCGCGCUCCCGUCGCGCUCGAGUCGUCAGUACAUCAUGUUUAAUCUCGUUGCAUUCAUCAUCGAGUAAAACGGUUCAUAACAGUUAAACUGAUUACCACUAAUUCUAUUUAAAAAAAGGGCUGCCUAUCCGCUU